UCUGAAUGCUAACUCUAUUCCUGAAAGGCUUUCUGCAGGAGCGGAUGUGGCAAGCCCACCCAAGGCAGACUCUGUGCCUCAGCCAGGCCCAAGGUCAGAGCCCAGGGCCUGCAGGUUUGAGAGAUACUAGAUGGAUGCUGUACCUGGUCCCCUCUACAGACCACAGGGCCCCUCCCUGGGGAAGACUCCAGCUGGGUGGGUUGGAAGGGCCUUGGGCAGGGACUGAGUUAUUCUUCCCCACAUGGGAUACAGAUGUGUGUGAGUGAGUGGACAGGCCCCUGUGUCUCUGCAGUACAGGAGUAAGGUGACUCCCACCGGCCCAAGUGUCCCUGUCCCUGGCUUUCCUGGUGCCACAUUGAAUCUGCCCUACCGUGUGAUCAUGUUUCAGAAGAGAACACUGUAUUUUAGGGAUAUUAAGGACCUAGGGACCUUCAGGGCUGUUGGAGUCAACCUUAUACCAGACCUCACUCUAGGUCACAAGCCUGCCUGACCUUGUCUCUUCCUGUCCCAACCUCCACACCUCUAAUCCACGUGGGUCCCUUGUUCUCCGUGUCCCUGGACUCCAUCUGCCUCUCAGAGCCUAGUGUCCGCUCUCACCAGCCCUCCUAAAGAGAUCUGUGUUGCCGUUUGUUGGUUCCCCUGCCUCAGAACCCUGUCCUCAGAUCCAACUUUGCACAGCAGUCUGGACGGCAGGGUCACAAGCUGAACUUUCCUUUGGCUUCCCUGGGAGCUGAACACUCUCCUAGACCCAAACCCUGGAACGAGGUUUGUGUGUAGGGAGCCUAAGCCGGAGCUCCAACCUUCGUGAGAAGUCCCGUGAUCUCCAUAAGCCUAGCUAUACAGACCUGUACAGGGUCUCCCAGGCCUGCAAGCAAGGGACAAAAAGACUAAGCAAAGAACAGAGAAGCUGUGGACCCUCGGGAGAUCAGCCCACUUAGCCUCCUGUAGUCCCAAGCCUGUGACCCCUGAAAGAGGCUCAAGGAGCUAAAAGAAGUCACUCAAACCCCUGCAGGGCUCCAGUUCAUCUCUUGCUUUAUCCAUCCAUAAAUAGCUGCACCACCCAUCCACCUGAGGACCCUCCAUAAUCACCCAUAGGACCUUGUGUCUGUCUAUCAUCUUUCCUCCUUCCUCAUCUGAGUCCUCCCUGUACCUGAACCAAGAGAUGAGUCACUGCACCCCGCCCUUGCAAAGUGCCAGUGUUGGGACCAGAACAAGGAGUUCACACCAAGUUCUGCUUCCGGGGGUUCCAAU
rnacentral:lncRNA from 1 species